UAUUAGGAACCAUUACGAGCACUAUGUGGUUAUCCUAAUCAUGUCAUGAAAACACGUUCAUCAAGGGAGAGGAAACCAAGUAAAUUCAAGGUCUCCCCGUUUGUACAGAAAUCAAGGAAGAUGGUAAAACGUGAAGCAUCAGAGUGAGCUUCUUGUUGACUUUGGUCAUGAACAUGGAGUUCGUGGAGAUUUUGCAUGCUUACGUCCUAGACAAAAUUUGAUGGAUGUUGUAAUAAAUUUAGAAGCCUCAAAGCUAAAUUAUUUUGAAAGACAAUUCAUAGGCAUACGAAGUAUAAGAUGCUAUCUUCCCACGACAUUUUCACAAAUGAUUUUGUGCGGGAGUCCUCAUCCUUUUUUCGAUAGAAAAACAUCCAUCGUUAGUAAGUACAUUAGUGAAUUG